UACGUAGGGUGCGAGCGUUGUCCGGAAUUAUUGGGCGUAAAGAGCUUGUAGGCGGUUUGUCGCGUCUGCUGUGAAAACCCGGGGCUUAACUCCGGGCCUGCAUUCGAUACGGGCAGACUAGAGUUCGGCAGGGGAGACUGGAAUUCCUGGUGUAGCGGUGAAAUGCGCAGAUAUCAGGAGGAACACCGGUGGCGAAGGCGGGUCUCUGGGCCGAUACUGACGCUGAGGAGCGAAAGCGUGGGGAGCGAACAGG
rnacentral:rRNA from 1 species